rnacentral:rRNA from 1 species
UACAGAGGGGGCAAGCGUUAUUCGGAAUUAUUGGGCGUAAAGGGCUCGUAGGCGGUUUGUCGCGUCGGGAGUGAAAACCUCGGGCUUAACUCGGGGCUUGCUUUCGAUACGGGCAGACUGGAGGUAUGCAGGGGAGAACGGAAUUCCUGGUGUAGCGGUGAAAUGCGCAGAUAUCAGGAGGAACACCGGUGGCGAAGGCGGGUCUCUGGGCCGAAAUUGACGCUGAGGAGCGAAAGCGUGGGGAGCAAACAGG